CAGCCGCCGCGGGAAUACGAAGGGGGCUAGCGUUGUUCGGAAUUACUGGGCGUAAAGCGCACGUAGGCGGAUACUUAAGUCAGGGGUGAAAUCCCGGGGCUCAACCCCGGAACUGCCUUUGAUACUGGGUAUCUCGAGUCCGGAAGAGGUGAGUGGAAUUCCGAGUGUAGAGGUGAAAUUCGUAGAUAUUCGGAGGAACACCAGUGGCGAAGGCGGCUCACUGGUCCGGUACUGACGCUGAGGUGCGAAAGCGUGGGGAGCAAACAGGAUUAGAUAUCCCCGUAGUCCCUGUCUCUUAUAA
rnacentral:rRNA from 1 species